rnacentral:lncRNA from 1 species
AUGCGUAUUGUCGACAUUACCUUUGGUUCACGCUACAAACACCAUGAUUCCAUGCCCCUCCUAGUAAGUCACAGGCACUCAAAAGCCUCACACUACAUACCAAGUGGUGUGUGUCUCGCAUGUGAUCUCCAACCCACUGACUCACUAGACACACAGAGAGAGAGAGAGAGAGAGAGAGAGAGAGAGAGAGAGAGAUGCUUUGGAUUUCCCUUUGUCUUCUUUGUCCUUUAAGACACUUACAAAUUUACCUGUGGUUCCAUGAAUUUUCCAUAAAGCUAGAUCAACAACAAGAUCAUGCCACCGUUUAG